rnacentral:misc_RNA from 1 species
UCUCCGUAGGUGAACCUGCGGAGGGAUCAUUACAGAGUUCAUGCCCUUCGGGGUAGAUCUCCCACCCUGUGUAUUAUUACCUUUGUUGCUUUGGCGGGCCGUUAGGCUUCGGCUUGGCUACCGGCUUCGGCUGGUAAGCGCCCGCCAGAGAACCCAUAACUCAACCUAUAUAUCGUGUCGUCUGAGUACAUACACAAUCGUGAAAACUUUCAACAACGGAUCUCUUGGUUCUGGCAUCGAUGAAGAACGCAGC